UGGUGAGAGUGGCGAACGGGUGAGUAACACGUGGGUGAUCUGCCCUGCACUUCGGGAUAAGCUUGGGAAACUGGGUCUAAUACCGGAUAGGACCAUCGUUUAGUGUCGGUGGUGGAAAGUUUUUUCGGUGUGGGAUGAGCUCGCGGCCUAUCAGCUUGUUGGUGGGGUAAUGGCCUACCAAGGCGUCGACGGGUAGCCGGCCUGAGAGGGUGUACGGCCACAUUGGGACUGAGAUACGGCCCAG
rnacentral:rRNA from 1 species